CAUAACUCUGCAGUGAUAAAAGCAUGUUGAUUAAAACAAACAGUCCUGGACAUUCUGUUCUAAGCAGCAUUCGACUGGGAAGAUGCAGGCUGCAAGGUCCUCUUCCAACAGACAAUUUUUUUUAAGGACUCAAAAAGAAAGAUUGUUUUUACUCCAGCCCAGUUCUGCAGUCCAAUUCAUCACGCAGCUGCACAAACAGCUAUACUGGUGUAACAGAAGGGUUGUCACAAGGUAUCUCAGACCCUGCAAGAGCAAGCUGGCUAAGCAGCUGAAGGGGAGGUUUUCCAAGAACAUGCCAGUGUGACACAGGUUUAGCAUUUCACGUGGUAACAGGUCCUGUGGGAUCAGUCUUCACAUUUGGGACAGUUAUACUCCCAGAAUUAUUCAACAUCCUUUUUAGAAAGGUUAUAAAUCAAAUAGGUCUGAAACGCCACUCUUUCACACUUACGUAAAUUACAGCAAAGAUCACAGUUCAGUAUAAAAAUGAGGUGAAUUGGUAGUACACAGGGUAACAAGGUAGCAUAGACAAACACAAGCAGCUACUUUUAAAGGAGCUUAAAAUCAGACCUGUGAUUUACGUGGAUGUUUAUUAAAACUAAUAUUAUAAUGCAGUGGGCUAUGAAAUCUUUGUAAGCAAUACUUUAAGAUCAGUUUGAAAAAAAAUGUGAUAACUGCAAAUUUAAACCAUUUCAUAUCUACUUGUAUCUUUCUUAAUAAAUUAAUCUAACCUUGCUGGUUUUAUCAGUUCAUCAGCAAUAAAAAUACUACGUCUUAGUUCUAGGAAGGAACAAAGUGCAGCCUGUGCCUGCAGGAAUCAUUGCAUCACCUAUUGCUGUUAUGGCUACAUCUGCAAAACACCUGGAGUGCUCCGGAGCAUGCUGACUCUCACCUGUCCUGGGGACACAGUUCCAACUUUCCAUUGCCACAUCUGUCGCAUGUAGGCCAGGAGAAAGCAGUGCUCUCAUUAACUCCAACAACAGUACCUGCAGAAGAUGAAAUUCUUACAAAAUACUAGCAGUAAGCUAGCAAACACAGUCACUCCUAGCUUCACAGCAGGUUUGGUCCUUUCUGACUCUCAGCUUAAGCAUCAGCUCUUCCAACAAUCUCACCCCCUUUCUCCUUUGUCCCUCCAACAAGGGAUGACAGUAUGGCAAAGUGUGUUACAUUCUAAAAAUACCAGCAGGUAGAUAAUUGAUAAUAAACUUUCCAAACAAGUUCA